CAUUGGAUAUUUUAAUAUAAAAUAUAAAUUUUGGGUAUUUAAGAUGUGUAAGUUUACAUUCCAUUGA
rnacentral:tRNA from 1 species